CAGCUCACGGAUUUCUUAAGAACCAACCCAAAACUUAAAAACUCUCAGAGCCCCCAAAACAUCCUUUCAAUUACAGACACACACACACACAAACACACACAGUUCUACAUGGAAGAGAAAAAGCAGCAAAGCAGCAAGUGACACAUGAAACGGUGUCUUGGUGUAAAACUCUACCACACACAUGGAAGUGGAUUCAUCUCCACCCUACAGUGAAGUUCUACAAAACCUGAAAUGGAUCUGCUCAUCCUGUUUCCCUCCACAAACACCAUCCAAAACCUCCCAGCCCUAAGUCUUCUCAGGGUUUUUUUUUUUUUUUUUUUAAUCGUGUGAAUCUAAAGGACAUUCUUGGAUGUCUCCUGAUGUUGGCUACAGAACACACACGCGCUUUUUUGAGCCGCUGUGGAAGUGGAUUACGGCCAUUCAGUCCCGGAGUCAAUUAAAGCCUGUUAAAGUCACUGCAGGCUUUGUUUACACAUUAUGGGAACUCUGUGAAGUGGGAGGAAAAGAAACAAUCUAAUGAAUGCCUUUUCAGAAGGUUAUUUAAGGCAUGUGUGUGUGUGUGUGUAUAUGUGUGUGUGUGUGUAUGUAGGAUAAAGGAAUGUCCAAACUCAAACCCUGGAGUUUCAUGUUAGGAUUUUAAACAUUAUCUUAUCUUAAAAACAUUUUCUAGCUUUAUGGUAAAAAUCUCAGUUAAAACGGGGAAAUAUUUAUUAAAUGUUAUAUCUGUAAUUAACCUAUUAAAUUUUUGGAAUUUGUUAUAAAUUUAGAAAAUAGUGCUAAAGUAUUAUUAAGCUAAUAUUAUGUAAUAAGAGACAUGACAGGAAAUGUGCACUCAUCCAUAGAAUCAUGGAUUUUAUAGGAUUAGCACACUUUAUAUAAAGUGUGGAUCAAAAUAAAGUAUAUACAAUUUCCAUCCAUUAA